CCCCCCGCAAUCGGAUUCUUCCACUUUGGAGGUGCCAUAGCUCUGGCUGGAUGAUUUAUGGCUAUCCUUCUGCUUUUUGUACGGAAAUAAAAGUUAACCAUGUGCCGUGCACCUAACAUGACAGCUGAAACAAAGCAGUGCAUUUUAUCAUACAAGAUUCCAGCAACAGCCUAUCACAAGCGAGAGAAACCUCUUGCUGAAGCUUCUCCAUCUGCCGUGGCUAAUGAUGGUGCUCUAUGUGGCCUGGAGCAGAACUGGAUGAGGGAGAUUUACACCCACAGCCCUCCAGGGUCCUCGGGACAGCACCGCUCUCUAAAACAGAGUCACUCCAUCACUUUCCAUAUGAUAGCUGGAAAAGCCGGUAACAAUGGGCCCGCAACAAUGUCUUUUUGUGUAACUGACAGGUACCUUUUUUGGUUGACAUAACCUGCCGCGAUGUCUGAGAAGUGGCACUAGGCGCAGUGGGAAGUGGAUGUCAGUUACACCAUUGAGACGGCAACAAUCAUACCUGACUUUACUUGACAAGAUACUUAGUAAUGAGUGUGACAUGAAGCUAAGUAAGAGGGGUGGCUGUCUUUGCGUUGCUCUAAUUAGAGUAACGGCAAGCAGGGAAAAAUAAGCAAUCAAUAAGAGAAAUAAAUGCACAGAGCUGCUUUUUCCUGUUUAGUCCUUUCUCAAGGCUU